rnacentral:rRNA from 1 species
CCUACGGGGGGCAGCAGUGGGGAAUCUUGGGCAAUGGGCGCAAGCCUGACCCAGCAACGCCGCGUGAAGGAAGAAGGCUUUCGGGUUGUAAACUUCUUUUAAGAGGGAAGAGCAGAAGACGGUACCUCUUGAAUAAGCCACGCCUAACUACGUGCCAGCAGCCGCGGUAAUACGUAGGUGGCAAGCGUUGUCCGGAUUUACUGGGUGUAAAGGGCGUGUAGCCGGGCUGACAAGUCAGAUGUGAAAUUCCGCGGCUCAACCGCGGACCUGCAUUUGAAACUGUUGGUCUUGAGUAUCGGAGAGGAAGGCGGAACUCCUAGUGUAGCGGUGAAAUGCGUAGAUAUUAGGAGGAACACCAGUGGCGAAGGCGGCCUGCUGGACGACAACUGACGCUGAGGCGCGAAAGCGUGGGGAGCAAACAGGAUUAGAUACCCGAGUAGUC